GAUGAAGAACGUAGCGAAAUGCGAUAAGUAAUGUGAAUUGUAGAAUUCAGUGAAUCAUCGAGUUUUUGAACGCAUAUUGCGCCCUCUGGUAUUCCGGGGGGCAUGCCUGUUCGAGCGUCAUUAAAUAACCCUCAAGCAUAGCUUGGUGUUGGGCUUUUUUACGUCCUUGACUGGGAUGGGCCUAAAAAUUAGUGGCGAUGGCUUUUUUACUUUCAAGCGUAGUAAAUCUCGUCUUGCUAAAGAGGAAAAAGAUUUUUUUUCUGCCAAAAAUUUUAACAUUUAAAGUUGACCUCGGAUCAGGUAGGAUUACCCGCUGAACUUAAGCAUAUCAAUAAGCGGAGGA
rnacentral:misc_RNA from 1 species